rnacentral:rRNA from 1 species
AGAGAUGUGUGAUGACGCAUAUCAAUAAGCGGAGGAAAAGAAACUAACAAGGAUUCCCUUAGUAACGGCGAGUGAAGCGGGAAGAGCUCAAAUUUGAAAUCUUCAAGGUUCUACCUUGACGAAUUGUAGUUUAAAGAAGUGUUUUCUGUUAGUGGGAGUGGCAAAAGUUCUUUGGAAUAGGACAUCAUAGAGGGUGAGAAUCCCGUAUUUGGUCAUUCCUUCUAGCUUUGUGAUACACUUUCAAAGAGUCGGAUUGUUUGGGAAUGCAGUCCAAAAUGGGUGGUAAAUUUCGUCUAAAGCUAAAUAUUGGCGAGGAGACCGAUAGCGAACAAGUACCGUGAGGGAAAGAUGAAAAGAACUUUGAAAAGAGAGUUAAACAGUACGCGAAAUUGUCAAAAGGGAAAGCGUUUGACACCAGUGUUGUUUUUCCGAAAAUCAAUUACGAAUGUUUUGUUUUUAAGAAGUUAUGACUUCAUCGGCUUGCUUCUUUCUUUACGAAACUUUCUUAAUGCACUUUUCGGUUAACAAGUCAACAUCAAUUUCUUUUGUUGUAAAAGGGUACGAGGAAGGUGGCUUUCUUUUCGGAGAAAGUGUUUAUAGCCUUGUACCUCUGCAAUCGGAGAGAUUGAGGUCUGCAGCGUAGAUCCUUCGGGGUUAGAUACAUUUGUGCUAAGUUAUAGCUUUUCAUAGACAACUUGUUGACUAUGUUAAGUCUUGUAGCUUACUCGCUUAGUGCUAUUUUACCUACGCUUAGGAUGUUGAUAGUCACAGCGUGUAC